GGUGGCUCAGUGGUAGAGUGCUUGCCUUGCAUGCAUGAAGCCCUGGGUUAGAUUCCUUAGCACCA
rnacentral:tRNA from 1 species